UACGAAGGGGGCUAGCGUUGUUCGGAUUUACUGGGCGUAAAGCGCACGUAGGCGGAUCGUUAAGUCGGGGGUGAAAUCCUGGAGCUCAACUCCAGAACUGCCUUCGAUACUGGCGAUCUAGAGUCCGGAAGAGGUGAGUGGAACUCCUAGUGUAGAGGUGGAAUUCGUAGAUAUUAGGAAGAACACCAGUGGCGAAGGCGGCUCACUGGUCCGGUACUGACGCUGAGGUGCGAAAGCGUGGGGAGCAAACAGGAUUGAGAAACCCCGUAGG
rnacentral:rRNA from 1 species